UNGACCUCGGAUCAGGUAGGGAUACCCGCU
rnacentral:rRNA from 1 species